rnacentral:rRNA from 1 species
UACGAAGGGGGCGAGCGUUGUUCGGAAUCACUGGGCGUAAAGAGUGCGUAGGCGGCGAUAAAAGUUAGGAGUGAAAGCCCAGGGCUCAACCUUGGAAUUGCUCUUAAAACUAUAUUGCUCGAAUUCGGGAGAGGAUAGCGGAAUUGUCAGUGUAGCAGUGAAAUGCGUAGAUAUUGACAGGAACACCAGUGGCGUAAGCGGCUAUCUGGACCGACAUUGACGCUGAGGCACGAAAGCGUGGGGAUCAAACAG